rnacentral:rRNA from 1 species
UUGAACGCUGGCGGCAGGCCUAACACAUGCAAGUCGAACGGUAACAGGAAGCAGCUUGCUGCUUCGCUGGCGAGUGGCGGACGGGUGAGUAAUGUCUGGGAAACUGCCUGAUGGAGGGGGAUAACUACUGGAAACGGUAGCUAAUACCGCAUAAUGUCGCAAGACCAAAGAGGGGGACCUUCGGGCCUCUUGCCAUCGGAUGUGCCCAGAUGGGAUUAGCUAGUAGGUGGGGUAACGGCUCACCUAGGCGACGAUCCCUAGCUGGUCUGAGAGGAUGACCAGCCACACUGGAACUGAGACACGGUCCAGACUCCUACGGGAGGCAGCAGUGGGGAAUAUUGCACAAUGGGCGCAAGCCUGAUGCAGCCAUGCCGCGUGUAUGAAGAAGGCCUUCGGGUUGUAAAGUACUUUCAGCGGGGAGGAAGGCGAUAAGGUUAAUAACCUUGUCGAUUGACGUUACCCGCAGAAGAAGCACCGGCUAACUCCGUGCCAGCAGCCGCGGUAAUACGGAGGGUGCAAGCGUUAAUCGGAAUUACUGGGCGUAAAGCGCACGCAGGCGGUCUGUCAAGUCGGAUGUGAAAUCCCCGGGGCUCAACCUGGGAACUGCAUUCGAAACUGGCAGGCUAGAGUCUUGUAGAGGGGGGUAGAAUUUCCAGGUGUAGCGGUGAAAUGCGUAGAGAUCUGGAGGGAUACCGGGUGGCGAAGGCGGCCCCCUGGACAAAGACUGACGCUCAGGUGCGAAAAGCGUGGGGAGCAAACAGGAUUAGAUACCCCUGGUAGUCCACGCCGUAAACGAUGUCGACUUGGAGGUUGUGCCCUUGAGGCGUGGCUUCCGGAGCUAACGCGUUAAGUCGACCGCCUGGGGAGUACGGCCGCAAGGUUAAAACUCAAAUGAAUUGACGGGGGCCCGCACAAGCGGUGGAGCAUGUGGUUUAAUUCGAUGCAACGCGAAGAACCUUACCUACUCUUGACAUCCAGAGAACUUUCCAGAGAUGGAUUGGUGCCUUCGGGAACUCUGAGACAGGUGCUGCAUGGCUGUCGUCAGCUCGUGUUGUGAAAUGUUGGGUUAAGUCCCGCAACGAGCGCAACCCUUAUCCUUUGUUGCCAGCGGUUAGGCCGGGAACUCAAAGGAGACUGCCAGUGAUAAACUGGAGGAAGGUGGGGAUGACGUCAAGUCAUCAUGGCCCUUACGAGUAGGGCUACACACGUGCUACAAUGGCGCAUACAAAGAGAAGCGACCUCGCGAGAGCAAGCGGACCUCAUAAAGUGCGUCGUAGUCCGGAUUGGAGUCUGCAACUCGACUCCAUGAAGUCGGAAUCGCUAGUAAUCGUGGAUCAGAAUGCCACGGUGAAUACGUUCCCGGGCCUUGUACACACCGC